AUCCACGGCCAUAGGACUCUGAAAGCACCGCAUCCCGUCCGAUCUGCGCAGUUAGCCAGAGUGCCGCCCAGUUAGUACCACGG
rnacentral:rRNA from 1 species